rnacentral:rRNA from 1 species
GUUCGCCUCUACAUCUAGGCCUAUACCCGAACUCUUACCGAACUCGAGUGUCCUUGCCUAGAUAUCCAUACAUACUAGUUUUCGCUGGGAACCAUGGUUCUUACAUUAAUAAAGU